GAUGAACGCUGACAGAAUGCUUAACACAUGCAGGUCGAUGGGGAAGUGGUGCUUGCACCAUGGCAACCAUGGCGGACGGGUGAGUAACGCGUAAGGGACUUACCUGCAGGACUGGGAUAACAGGGGGAAACUCCUGACAAGACCGGAUAAUGUCAUGGAGCUGCAUGGCUUUAUGAUGAAAGGAGACGCCUGCGGAGAGCCUUGCGUCCUAUUGGCUAGUUGGUGAGGUAAUGGCUCACCAAGGCGAAGAUAGGUAGCCGGCCUGAGAGGGUGGACGGCCACAAGGGGACUGAGAUACGGCCCUUACUCCUACGGGAGGCAGCAGUGGGGAAUAUUGGACAAUGGGGGCAACCCUGAUCCAGCAAUUCUGUGUGCACGAAGAAGGUUUUCGGAUUGUAAAGUGCUUUCAGCAGGGAAGAAGUAAGUGACGGUACCUGCAGAAGAAGCGACGGCUAAAUACGUG
rnacentral:rRNA from 1 species